UACGUAGGGUACAAGCGUUAAUCGGAAUUACUGGGCGUAAAGCGUGCGCAGGCGGCUCGGAAAGAAAGAUGUGAAAUCCCAGGGCUUAACCUUGGAAUGGCAUUUUUAACUCCCGAGCUAGAGUAUGUCAGAGGGGGGUAGAAUUCCACGUGUAGCAGUGAAAUGCGUAGAGAUGCGGAGGAACACCGAUGGCGAAGGCAGCCCCCUGGGCUAACACUGACGCUCAGGCACGAAAGCGUGGGGAGCAAACAGG
rnacentral:rRNA from 1 species